rnacentral:rRNA from 1 species
GCUUACGGCCAUACCACCCUGAGAACGCCCGAUCUCGUCUGAUCUCGGAAGCUAAGCAGGGUCGGGCCUGGUUAGUGCUUGGAUGGAAGACCGCCUGGGAAUACCAGGUGCUGUAAGCU